GAUGAACGCUGACAGAAUGCUUAACACAUGCAAGUCGAUGGGGAAGUGGUGCUUGCACCAUGGUAACCAUGGCGGACGGGUGAGUAACGCGUAAGGAACUUGCCUGCGGGACCGGGAUAACAGCAGGAAACUGCUGACAAGACCGGAUAAGGUCAUGAAGCUGCAUAGCUUUGUGAUGAAAGGAGACGCCUGCGGAGAGCCUUGCGUCCUAUUAGCUAGUUGGAGGGGUAACGGCCCACCAAGGCGAAGAUAGGUAGCCGGCCUGAGAGGGUGGACGGCCACAAGGGGACUGAGAUACGGCCCUUACUCCUACGGGAGGCAGCAGUGGGGAAUAUUGGACAAUGGGGGCAACCCUGAUCCAGCAAUUCUGUGUGCACGAAGACGGUUUUCGGAUUGUAAAGUGCUUUCAGCAGGGAAGAAGGAAGUGACGGUACCUGCAGAAGAAGCGACGGCUAAAUACGUGCCAGCAGCCGCGGUAAUACGUAUGUCGCGAGCGUUAUCCGGAAUUAUUGGGCAUAAAGGGCAUCUAGGCGGUCUUUCAAGUCAGGGGUGAAAACCUGCGGCUCAACCGCAGGCCUGCCUUUGAAACUGAUAGGCUGGAGUACCGGAGAGGUGGACGGAACUGCACGAGUAGAGGUGAAAUUCGUAGAUAUGUGCAGGAAUGCCGAUGAUGAAGAUAGUUCACUGGACGGUAACUGACGCUGAAGUGCGAAAGCCGGGGGAGCGAACAGG
rnacentral:rRNA from 1 species